rnacentral:rRNA from 1 species
UACAGAGGUGUCAAGCGUUGCUCGGUGUCACUGGGCUUAAAGGGCGCGUAGGCUGUGCAGUACGGCUCGGGUGAAAUCCCUCGGCCCAACCGAGGAACUGCCCGGGCGACGGCUGCGCUGGACUGCAUCAGGGGCGGAUGGAACUCCUGGUGGAGCGGUGAAAUGCGUAGAUAUCGGGAGGAACGCCGGUGGCGAAAGCGAUCCGCUGGGGUGCAAGUGACGCUGAGGCGCGAAAGCCAGGGGAGCAAACGGG